AAUGUUAAAUAGAUUAAGCUAUGUUUGAUUGCGGUUCAAAAAGAUAAACAUUUUU
rnacentral:tRNA from 1 species